CAUGUUUUCUCUCAUGACUUCUCCUCUGAGAGUGAGCUCCUCUCCCUCACCAUCACAGCCUCUCCUCUGCCAGCCUUCAUCAUCAGACACGUUGUAGUGCUGCUGAUCCUACUGACAGGCAUCACCACCUCCUACCUGUACUACAAGCCCACCAGGAGGCAGAAGAGAGUGAACAGGGUGAGCAGCAUGGAUCUUUAUGUCAAUGCCAUGGAGAUGGUCUCUCUGAGCUCCAGAGCUGAAGCUGGACCGGGAGAGGAGAGAGCAGCCCAGGGGACGGAGUAGGAGUAGAAUGAAGCUGACCCUACAUGCUGAUCUUAGGUCAGUUUUGUGUUUUAAAUGGAUGGUCAGCAGUGGACUGGUGUUUAAAAUGUGGUGACAAACCUGAAGUGGUU
rnacentral:lncRNA from 1 species